rnacentral:rRNA from 1 species
AUGGCCGGCGAGGACGAGGAGUGGAGCGAGGACGAGGAGUUGAACGAGGAGGACCAGAAGGCUAGGGCGGCCUGGGAUGAGAUGGUGGAUCAGUUUCGGGCUCGGCAGAGGGCCAGGCUUGGCGGCGGUAAACCCAUGAAACGGCUGCAACACGAGGACGUCAUCUACAUCCUGUCGCUGGAGAAGGACGGCAAUGACUACGUCACCGGCCGCGGCCACCGGUACACGGCCGAGGAGAUGAAGAGUAUGGUGGACAUGGACAUCAAGGGCGACGACGAGAUCGAUGAGCGGCAGGCCAGGGUGAUGCGGCAGCUGAGUGAGAAGGGCUACGUCCAGGACGACGACGACUACGUGGGCGACGACGACGACUACUUAGACGAGGCCAAGAAGUUGAAAGAGAUACAGUGGGAGAGACUCAUGGCGCCCGUCUUGAGUCGACGUCUUGCUCGCAUGGGAGUCACCGCCGAAAACGACGACGAUGAGGAGGACUACUACUCGGAGCUGGGAGAGGAGGAGGACGAGAAUCCAGAUGACAAACAGAUACCAGCAGAAUAG